rnacentral:rRNA from 1 species
GAUGAACGCUAGCUACAGGCUUAACACAUGCAAGUCGAGGGGUAACGAGAGGGAAGCUUGCUUUCCUUGUCGACGACCGGCGCACGGGUGAGUAACGCGUAUCCAACCUGCCCCCAACUAGGGAAUAACCUUGCGAAAGUAAGACUAAUACCCUAUAAUCUCCUCAGAUGUCAUCUGACGAGGAAUAAAGAUUUAUCGGUUGUGGAUGGGGAUGCGUCUGAUUAGCUUGUUGGCGGGGUAACGGCCCACCAAGGCAACGAUCAGUAGGGGUUCUGAGAGGAAGGUCCCCCACAUUGGAACUGAGACACGGUCCAAGCUCCUACGGGAGGCAGCAGUGAGGAAUAUUGGUCAAUGGGCGGAAGCCUGAACCAGCCAAGUAGCGUGCAGGAUGACGGCCCUAUGGGUUGUAAACUGCUUUUAUACAGGAAUAAAGUUAGCCACGUGUGGUUAUUUGUAGGUACUGUAUGAAUAAGGACCGGCUAAUUCCGUGCCAGCCGCCGCGGUAA